rnacentral:rRNA from 1 species
GGCGAGCGAACGCGGAACAGCCCAAACCUACGUCAUUGGCGUAGGGGUAGUAGGGGCCUCAACAAAGUAGUGUUAAAAUAUUAGACGAACGUGGUGGAAACCACGGCCAAAGAAGGUAAAAGCCCUGUAAUCGAAAAUGUUUUGCAUUAUGAGAGGACUCCCUGAGUAGGACGGGACACGAGGAACCCUGUCUGAAUCUAGGUGGACCAUCAUCUAAGGCUA